UACGAAGGGGGCUAGCGUUGUUCGGAUUUACUGGGCGUAAAGCGCACGUAGGCGGAUCGUUAAGUCAGGGGUGAAAUCCUGGAGCUCAACUCCAGAACUGCCUUUGAUACUGAGGAUCUUGAGUUCGGGAGAGGUGAGUGGAACUGCGAGUGUAGAGGUGAAAUUCGUAGAUAUUCGCAAGAACACCAGUGGCGAAGGCGGCUCACUGGCCCGAUACUGACGCUGAGGUGCGAAAGCGUGGGGAGCAAACAGG
rnacentral:rRNA from 1 species